CCCCUCUUCUUCCUUUUCCCAUUGGAUCCCAGGACUGGUCUCAAUGUCCUAAAGAGGAAGGGCAUCCUGAAACUGGCCUCCAGUGUUGUAGUCUGCUGCAGAGCGUGCAGGCCUGAUUCAAACAGGC
ensembl:snoRNA